AAAACCGUUGUCUAUUUAUGCUUUUUCGGGGCUACGACAAUGGUUUUUAAAGGCUAUGACAACAGUUUUUAAAAACUGUUGUCUAUGUACAUAUGUUUUUGAGAUUACGACAAUGAUUUUUGAAAACCGUUGUCUAUUAAGUGUUAUUGAAUACAGUUGUUUUUUUUUCGCCGUUUUUUCCCUUCGCCAUUUUUUUGCCGCCGCGUUUUUUCUUUCCCUCUCCUCGAAAUUUUUUCCCGCCGCAUUCCCCCCUUUAUCUUCUCAAUCCCUAAGCAUUUUCGUCGAUCUCUUCACCUACUUCACAUUUUUUUUCUCCUUUCCUCUCCAAGCCCUAAACCUGCCGCCCCUUCUCCUUUCCUCUCCAACCCCUAAACCCAUCACCCCUUCACGACUCGUAGCAGAUGGACCCCUAGAAUUCGUGUCACCAAAAUCGACGGAUCUUCAGGAAUUCCUCCCUCCUUUCAAUCUUUCACAGCAACCUCUCUGCGAUCUGGUGAGUUUUCUUUCAAUUCUAUUGCAAUGCAUUUGGCCCUAGUUUGUUUUGGUGUUACAGUUUCUUUUCUUGUUAUUGAUACUUGGAGAUUCCUAACUUGAAACUUUCGACUUUUUCUUUGAGUUAAUUCAUUUUAUCAAUUGUUUCGUUGAUGAGUAAUUUCUUUUUUAUGGUUGAUCCUACAUAUUAUAUAUUUUGGAGGGGCAUUGCUUCUUAAUUUCAUAGUUUUGGAUGUGCAGAUGGCAACAAAGGCGUUAACAAAAGAGGCAAUUGUAAUGACUGAGAAGAAGAUGAACAUGAGCUUAGUUUUUCUAGAUCUACUCAAUUUUCGGGCGUUACAUUCAUGGAUUCCAGAUCUUCAAUUAGACAGGGUGUGCUUGCAAAGAGAAGGUCAAAUUUUCAUGGGAAUCAAUUCCCAGUAAACACAGAGGUGGCUAGGAAGGCUGUUGACUUGAUUGUAAAUCAAAACACUUGUCAAAAGAUGAUGCUAAACAGCAAUUUUUUAGAAUCUUGAGAACUCCUCCUUAUGGGAAUUCUGUUUUCUUCAGUGUACGGAAGAUAGAUGAUCCUAUAGAAGUCAUAUCUUUAUGAGGGGAAGAAGAAAGGCCCUUAAAACAGAGAAUACCAAUGAAGAGGAUAAGGCAGAAUCUAAUUGUUGUAACAAUGUUGAGAGGUUUGGAUUUGUACCUGGUCCAAAUUUCACUAUGGAAUCUUUUGAGACGUAUGCAGAUGAGUUCAAGAGACAAUAUUUUAGCAAAAGUGCAGAAUUUGUUUUAGGGUCCUGCCAGCAGGAACCUUCCGAUGAUGAUAUUGAAGGUGAAUAUUGGCGGAUAGUGGAAAGACCAACAGAAGAGAUUGAGGUUCUUUAUGGUGCUGAUUUUGACACUGGGGUUUUCAGUAGUGGCUUUCUCAAAGAGUGAUCCUCUGCGAAGGUAUGAGCACUAGGGGAUCAGUAUAUGAGUUCUGGAUGGAAUUUAAAUAACAUCAUGACAUGCUAUUAUUUCCUAAGAAAAACUGUAUACUAGUCUAUUAUGUCACAAGAUUGUGUUUACAUCAUUUAAUAAGUAUCAAAUGCCAAGUCAUAUUUAUUCUUUUCAACAAAAAAUGUAUUUGUAUAUACAAGGUGAAGCUUCUCUAUUAACACAAUGCUUCUAAUAUGAUAGUCCAUCUCACUCAGUUGCAGUGGCAUCACACUCAGAUGGAUGCUAGUGGUUCAGAGAGGUAAAGACACAACAUUUUUAUUUCUUGAUUUCGCUUCUUUACAGUGAUCUGCCAGGAAGAUGCAUGGUUUGAUUCUGUCAGUAUCUUGGAAUCUGAUUCUGAUGAUGAUUUCUCAAGAGUUCAUGGAGGCAGUAUUAGUUUACUCUUUACAGAUGCAUCAUGAUCACACAACAGACCUAGGUAGUGAUGAUUGAUAUUUUAAUGCUUGCAGAUUGUAUUCCAGCAGCAAAUGCAACAGUGGCUCAGCCAUUGCAGUAUGAAAAUGCUUCAUGUUGUAUGGAGGGUGUUUAUCUUAGCACUCCAUUGACAGUGGUUCCUACAAUCAACUGUUUUCCAGCUGAUAGAUUGGUGAAUUCUUACGGAAGCUUUCGCGAGCUUCCUAGUAAGGUUGAGGAAGCUAGAGAUAGAGCUCAAGGAGCAGACAUUUACAUCAAAAAGAAAAAGGGUUUAAAUGAAUCAUAUGGUGGUUUGAAAGGCUCCAAAGAGGUACAUGAGACGGAUGACAAAUCUCAUGUCAACAAGGCUUCAUUGCACAUCUGCAACUUGGUCCCUUCUAUUUGUUUAUAUAAUAAAGUUCAACAGAUGCCAAAUGCUAGUCCACCAUGUCAAAGGAAAAGAUCAGCAGUUAUCUUAUAAGAGAAAGUCUUACGAUGGAGAAGAGAUAACUGAGUUCUGUAAGUAAAGCAUUUCUAUUUUAAAGUUUUUUGGGGUUGUUUAUUGUUUCUUAUCUAAGCAUAUAUAUAUAUAUAUAUGUUUCAGUUUCUAUCUCUAGAUCUAAUUACUCAUAUACUGCACAUGCACUGUCAUUAAUUCACUGAUUAGACGCAGAUUUUUGGAAUAUAUUACAUCCACAGCAAUUGCAGCGACUCAAACUUCGCCAUUGCGUCCUGCUCCGACGGUGGCCAGAAGCCGAAGCACUCGUCGUCCAACAGCGGCACGUCGUUGCUACAACUUUCGAAACGGUUCUUUGAAAGAACAACAUCUCUUUUCUUUGAAAGAACAGCAUCUCAUAUCAAGAAUUAACUAGAAAGAUAAAAUAAGAACUUAUGGGUCCAAAUUAACUGAUUGACUUUUCUAUAUAGCUCAUAUCAGGAAUUACCAUAUAACUGCUAAGUUUUUCCAACACAGUGGUAAACACAUAUUUCAGAACAAGUUUUUUCAUACAUAUAAUAGUGUAUUUCUUUUGAUAUCAAUAGAUUGUUGAUCUCCUGGUGCCUUGUCAAAGGGGUGGAAAGAUUGAACUUUUUGAUGGAGCUGGUGUGGGGAAGACUAGAUUUAUUAUGGAACUGAUGAUCAAUGAUAUUGAAAAAGGUUGGUAUAAAAGAAUUAGCAAGUGAAAAAAAAAGAGUUCAAUGAAAUCCUACAAGUUAAAGAUUGUGAUGGGACUUGUUCAUUAGUUGGCUAUUGUUCAUUAGUUGUAAAUGGAACUUAUUUGUUUAUUUCUUCUUUUGUGAUUGUAAUUCUUGUAAAAGCAACAUUCUGAAUGACAUUAAUGUGGAGAAUAUUCUUUCUUUUGUGAUUA